rnacentral:ncRNA from 2 species
GUCGCUCAUUCGCCCCCUGUUUUUUGAUAAAUGACAAAAUGUGCAGCGGACGGGGAAUGCCGUGAGAAUCGGCGACAGUCGCGCUGCGGUAUCGAGUCACUCGUCCCAAUUUCCAGACACCACCAUUCCGCGCCGCCAGCGCGCCGCAUGGCAGUUUCGGGAAGCAAAGCACAGCCGGAAAAGGCCGCGCACAGUCGCGCGCGCCAGUUCGGUCAAGACGAAGGGAUGGGGUCCGCGCCAGGUUCCUCAAGCAGGCGCCGCGCGGAAAAACUCGGAGUCCGAACACCCGGCUGCACACGCCAGAGAAA